rnacentral:rRNA from 1 species
GUUUGAUCCUGGCUCAGGACGAACGCUGGCGGCGUGCUUAACACAUGCAAGUCGAACGGUAAGGCUCCAGCUUGCUGGGGUACACGAGUGGCGAACGGGUGAGUAACACGUGGGUGACCUGCCCUGCACUUCGGGAUAAGCCUGGGAAACUGGGUCUAAUACCGGAUAGGACUGCACCGUGAGGGUGUGGUGGAAAGUUUUUUCGGUGUGGGAUGGGCCCGCGGCCUAUCAGCUUGUUGGUGGGGUAAUGGCCUACCAAGGCGGCGACGGGUAGCCGGCCUGAGAGGGUGGACGGCCACAUUGGGACUGAGACACGGCCCAGACUCCUACGGGAGGCAGCAGUGGGGAAUAUUGCACAAUGGGCGCAAGCCUGAUGCAGCGACGCCGCGUGGGGGAUGACGGCCUUCGGGUUGUAAACUCCUUUCACCAUCGACGAAGGGUUUCUGACGGUAGAUGGAGAAGAAGCACCGGCUAACUACGUGCCAGCAGCCGCGGUAAUACGUAGGGUGCGAGCGUUGUCCGGAAUUACUGGGCGUAAAGAGCUCGUAGGUGGUUUGUCGCGUCGUCUGUGAAAUUCCGGGGCUUAACUCCGGGCGUGCAGGCGAUACGGGCAUAACUUGAGUACUGUAGGGGAGACUGGAAUUCCUGGUGUAGCGGUGAAAUGCGCAGAUAUCAGGAGGAACACCGGUGGCGAAGGCGGGUCUCUGGGCAGUAACUGACGCUGAGGAGCGAAAGCAUGGGGAGCGAACAGGAUUAGAUACCCUGGUAGUCCAUGCCGUAAACGGUGGGCGCUAGGUGUGGGUUUCCUUCCACGGGAUCCGUGCCGUAGCUAACGCAUUAAGCGCCCCGCCUGGGGAGUACGGCCGCAAGGCUAAAACUCAAAGGAAUUGACGGGGGCCCGCACAAGCGGCGGAGCAUGUGGAUUAAUUCGAUGCAACGCGAAGAACCUUACCUGGGCUUGACAUAUACAGGAUCGCGCCAGAGAUGGUGUUUCCCUUGUGGCUUGUAUACAGGUGGUGCAUGGUUGUCGUCAGCUCGUGUCGUGAGAUGUUGGGUUAAGUCCCGCAACGAGCGCAACCCUUGUCUUAUGUUGCCAGCACGUUGUGGUGGGGACUCGUAAGAAACUGCCGGGGUUAACUCGGAGGAAGGUGGGGAUGACGUCAAAUCAUCAUGCCCCUUAUGUCCAGGGCUUCACACAUGCUACAAUGGUCGGUACAGUGGGUUGCCAGUCCGUGAGGGCGAGCUAAUCCCGCAAAGCCGGUCUCAGUUCGGAUCGGGGUCUGCAACUCGACCCCGUGAAGUCGGAGUCGCUAGUAAUCGCAGAUCAGCAACGCUGCGGUGAAUACGUUCCCGGGCCUUGUACACACCGCCCGUCACGUCAUGAAAGU